ACCAAUAACAAGCAUUACUCAUCGAUAGAAAUGCAAAUUACGAGCGAGAAUAUAAAAACUUUAAUUAGUUAAGCGUAAUAAAAUCUCUUCCAGAACUAAUCAGCAACUUGAUAAAACAACGUAAGUAUAAAUGAAGACCAUAGGUAUACAAGCAUGGUACAAGUAGAUAUUUACAUUUUUCAAUUCGUCCAGUCGAACGUUUUCUGUUCUUCUCAGUGAAAAGUGAACCUUCACAGCAACACAACGAAACCAUCAUGUCAAAAAUCAUCGCGAUCAUUUUCAGUGUUUUGUACAUAGCAGCCAUGGCUAUCCAAGUAUUUGGCAUCCCACAAUAUUACAGCGGGCCAAACCGAUACGGCGUUAAAUUGUACCCAUACCCUCUAAAUCCUGACAACACGGAUCCUAAACUACAACUUCAAUACAUGAUACAGCAAGCGAAUUACGAAGCCAAUAUGGAAAUAAUCAACAAUAUGGGCUAGAAUGUAUAUACUUCAUAUACCUAUUUUUUUUUUUUACCAGCGUUGCUUAUCAAUUAAUUAUAAUACCGAGAUAUAUAUUAUAUCUUCAGAGAUUUCCAUGACAUUUUCACCUAUCUUGGCCAUAUUGCCAAUGGCCCUUAUUAUAGUGAUAAUUUGUAGUACCAGAUAAUAGAAAUAGGUAUAAAGUUCAAAUAUAAUUCGAUUGUUUCUAA